UACGGGGGGGGCAAGCGUUGUUCGGAAUUACUGGGCGUAAAGGGCUCGUAGGUGGCCAACUAAGUCAGACGUGAAAUCCCUCAGCUUAACUGGGGAACUGCGUCUGAUACUGGAUGGCUUGAGUUUGGGAGAGGGAUGCGGAAUUCCAGGUGUAGCGGUGAAAUGCGUAGAGAUGUGGAGGAACACCAGUGGCGAAGGCGGCUUUCUGGUCUGUAACUGACGCUGAGGCGCGAAAGCGUGGGGAGCAAACAGG
rnacentral:rRNA from 1 species